rnacentral:misc_RNA from 1 species
GAUGAAGAACGUAGCGAAAUGCGAUACUUGGUGUGAAUUGCAGAAUCCCGUGAACCAUCGAGUCUUUGAACGCAAGUUGCGCCCGAAGCCAUUAGGCCGAGGGCACGCCUGCCUGGGCGUCACACGUCGUUGCCCCCCCAUCUACUCCUUCGGGAUUGCGGGGGGCGGAUGAUGGCCUCCCGUGCGCCUCGUCGCGCGGUUGGCAUAAAUGCCAAGUCCUCGGCGACGCACGCCACGACAAUCGGUGGUGGCGAAACCUCGGUUGCCCGUCGUGUGCGGUCGUCGCGCAUCGAGGGCUCGAAAAAAUUGCCGGGCUCCGGCUCGGCUUUCAACGCGACCCCAGGUCAGGCGGGGUUACCCGCUGAAUUUAAGCAUAUCAAUAAGCGGAGGA